UUUUUUUAAGAGUGUAUGCAUUUGUUUUGUAUGAACACAGAUCUUUGAUUUUUUCAAAUCUAUUGGAGAUCUAUAUAUAUAUAUAUAUGUAUGUGUUUUCUCUGAUAUUGAUGUUCAUUGUUUUGGUUUGUCAAUUUCUAUGCCCUUUCUCUGAUAGAAAUCUAUAUAUAUAUAUAUAUAUACAUAUUUGUGUGUGUGUGUGCAUGUUUUAGCAAUCUCUGAUAGAAAUCUUUCUGUUGAACGUCUGAUUAUCAUCUCCUUGGUGUAUUGGUUGGUGGUUAUAAAGAGAAGAAGAGGAUAAUUUGCUAAUCAGCACUGCAAUCUCCUUCAUGACUCUGCUUGAAGUGCCACAAAUUGAGAAACCAGUGAAAAUUCGACUUGUUGGCAUUUGAGGUCCACGAGAAGUUUGAAGCCAACAAGCAUGUGGACUUAAGAGUACAUAUAUUUUGGAUAUAUAAAAAUUGUGAUUAGCAUGAUGCAUGGUUGGCGAACGGAUAUGUAAAUUUGAGCCAUUUGUGUUCGUUAUUAAAUUCUCAAGCUGCCUUCUUUAGUUAAAUUCUUUGGCUUAAAUCAUUGAUUAUACUCCCAUGUUGAACUGUUUGUUUAUUUCC